AGAACAUCGAAUACUGCCUAACUUCUUAUUCAUUUGUGUAUUGAUUCUUCCUUUACAAAUGCACUGGUGGAUGACAAGUUUGUGAGGGACGUAGUCAAGUUCUCCAACAAAACUUCCACUUUUGGACAGGCUUUUGUAUAUGAGAACAAAAACUAGUGAAAUUCUCAAGAUUAUCAUGGCUCCUCUUUGUCUGCAAACGAUUAGCAUUGCAACAUUUGCAAAAAAGGUGUGGGUAAAAUGAAACCUUGCCAAAGCAAAAGCAAAAGAAAAAGAAAACCAACAAUGACAACUCAAUUACAUUGAUAAUAUAACCUUGAGUACUCAAUGAAUCAAGCGUAUUUUGAGAGCUAGAAAAUUAUUAUAUUCCAGAAAAUUACUCAAUACUUUAUUUUGUAACGUUGAUGUUAUCAAUGGAAGUUAUGGUGUUUGGUUUGUUAUGAAA